CUAGCGUUAUCCGGAUUUACUGGGUGUAAAGGGAGCGCAGGCGGUACGGCAAGUCUGAUGUGAAAGCCCGGGGCUCAACCCCGGUACUGCAUUGGAAACUGUCGUACUAGAGUGUCGGAGGGGUAAGUGGAAUUCCUAGUGUAGCGGUGAAAUGCGUAGAUAUUAGGAGGAACACCAGUGGCGAAGGCGGCUUACUGGACGAUAACUGACGCUGAGGCUCGAAAGCGUGGGGAGCAAACAGGAUUAGAUACCCCU
rnacentral:rRNA from 1 species